UCCAGUUGGGUAAACACUGUUGAACUGAAGAGAAGAAUGGAGCUUGUUCAUAAAUAGGGCAAGCCCUUGAAGACCUUGAGAAGAGUUCAGCAAAGCUUCAGGAGUGUCUUGAAGCAUCUAUCAUGGGUGAAGUCAAGUCCAAGAAUGCCUGAGACUGAUCUUAAGAAGGCAUGGAAGGAGUUUGGAGGUGUAUGGUCGAGUGGGCAAACUUAGGGCGUGGCCGUACGGAGUUGGUACGGAAGUGUACGGACCGUACGGAUCCGUACGGACCAAGCCGACCCAAAAGUUUGUAUCUCGACCAUCUGAGCUUAUUUAGAGUUGGUGCAAAAAUAGGGCACAGGUCAGUUCUUAAGAGAAGAAGACAAAAGAGACUCUUAAGAGAAGAAGACAAAGAAGAAGGCUGUGUGUGCAAAGGAGAUUGGCGCCUGGUUUGUGAUAGGCUGUGGCAGUCCAAGACAGGCUGGCUAUAGCUGGAAAGGAAGAGCAAGGCUUGACUAUGUAUCUGGCCAAAGAAGAGGGCAGAUACAUGAGCCAAUGAGGAGCAUUUCCAGCCAAGGCUUUCACUUAACCAAUCAGGCGGUUCCAACACUUUGCAAAGACCACAAGACCUGAUCCUGAGCGUCCAAUUCAAAUUAAAGCAUCUCCACCCUUCAUGUCUUAUCUGUAGCUUAGGGUUUAUGAUUUGUGCAAUGAGUAAAGCUCAUAUAUAAGCUUGCUAAUGUCGGAUUGUAAACACUAAGGGAGUAAGGGGGAUUUCCCCUCUCCACUUCAUUGUUCUGGUUACUAAUAAGAUCCAGUUCUGUUCUUAGUCUUUUAUUCUCCUAAUCUCUUAGUCUCCCUAAUCUCAAAACCACUCAUACACUCACGCAUACACUCUCUUCUCAAUCUCUUAUCAAAUCACCAAGAACAAGUCUCAUCUAACUCCAUUGGAGUGUAUCCACAGUCACACAUCCAACCAGAGUAGUUCUCUCUAAAAACUCAUAUGGUAUCAGAGCCAGGUUCAUCAGAACCUGAGCUGUAGCUUCCGCAAAUCACUUGCUCUCACCUCAGCUCAAAUCAAAGCCUAGAAGACAUGUACUUGCGGUUCUGGUUACUUCAAGAAGAAGAAGACUGAAGCAUGGCGUGUUACUCCUUAUCUCUCAGCCAGUUCAACCUGUACCUGAUGAAGACUCUUGUUGGAAGCAAAGGUGUGUGGAGAGGCCUCGCGAACCUUGUCCAUGGCGCCUUGUCCAAAGGCUGUUCCUCAUCUGGUGUGAAGAGAAAGCUAUCCAGAAGAUGGCAAGUAGAGGGCUUGAAGAAAGGAGGGGUUUGUGAGUAUGAGAAACAAGGAGGAAGUCAUGAACUGAAGGAGAAGGAGAUGGGUAACGAUCCAGACUCACAUAUCCUCAAAGUCAUGAGCUUACCAUCCGAGAGUGAUACAAGGACCAACCUGGUUCCUUGAUAGUAAGCGAUCCUUUAAACCUUAAAUGAUAAUGAGCUUGUGAUAAAAUCUGGUUGUGUGUUGUGAUGUGAUUGAAAACCUGAGGAUUGUUUAAAGAUUGCUAAAUGAAAUGAAAUGAAUUUAGAAUCUAUCCCAGGAUGCUUAAAGAGACUUGUUGAGUUGAUUGAGAUUGUUUAAAAGGCUUAGCUCCGGUUCAUAAUGUUGCUUGUGUGGUUGAUUGAAUCUGCUCGCAUACAUAUUGUGAGAAUAGACAGAUUAUGGUGUGUGAGUGUUGUUUAGAACAGAGAGUGGUCGGAUUGAAAGAGAACAGAGUGAAGAGAGUAAGUGAGAAUUAAAGAGACUGCAAUGGAGCAAAAGAGAGAUUAAGUGAGAUUUGAGAGAGUAUGAGAGAGAUUCUUGUAACCAGAGAUUAGGGAGAGUAUAAGAGACUUGAGAAUGGUGAAGAAGAAAGGGGAAACUCCCCAUUCAGCUUAAUUUCGUAAUGGUUACAAUGGGGUGGCUUUAUAGCCAGAUUACAAGUUGCAAGUGAUUAAACAAUUGUUAAAGUACAGAUUUACUAAACUAAUAUUAUUGUAGGGUUUCUGAUGGAGCCAGGAGGAUGCAGCCAAGGAGAAUCUCGACCAGAGGGGGUAGAGAGUGACAGGAGAGAGAGAUGGGCACAGUCUGGUUGGGUGAAAGUGACAGCAGGUUCAUCUCCUUAUGCACAUGUGACUUUUAUCUUAAUUAAUUCUCCAACUUGCCAGAUCUCUCUCCAACGGUCUCAUACUUAGUUUAAACUUCAAAUAUGCUUCAGAAAGCUCAGCUGGACGAGUUCCCCACUUGCCUUGACUUCCAAGACACUCUAGGUUAGGUUUGGUUACUUGCAAGCCAAAACUGUACGGACAGAUUCAAAUCUGCUUGUUCCGGAUUUGCUUGCUCUUGAAGCUUGGUCUCUUCAUCAACUCCAGCUUCUUACUUCUUCAUUCCAACACUCUCCCUCAAGCUUGACCAUAGGAGAUCCUUGGACAAGCUUGGAACCUUGAAGAAGCUCCCUCAUUAAAAACCUUAGCAAGAAAACCCAUUGGGACAAAACUUGCUAAGGGAAAAAGAGUGGAGUUUCCACAAAGCUUAGGGAUUGGCCAGUGAGCCUAAGGAACUUCAGAUUCAUCAUGGUGGAGUCCUUAGGCUCUGGAUCGUGGCCUAAUAGGUAUAGCAAGUAUGAAUCACCAUAACUUGCUAUCCUUGAGCACAACUAGCCGGCUGGAUCAUUUUGUGGCCGGUUUAGGGUCUCCCCCUCUCAACUGGCUUCAAGCCACCUUAGGAAGGCAAGGAAACGACCAGACCAUCUUCUAUGAACCCCCAGCAAAGUUACUUGUUCUUUAGAACUUGGCUUGACCUCUUCAUGGAACCAUAGACUCGGUUAGGGUCUCCCCCUCUCAACUGACUUCUUUGGCCAUCUUAGAAAGGCUAGGACAUGACCGGAUCAUCAUCAUCAUCUUCAGUGAGGCUCAAGCUUAUUUUGGUACCUGAUACAUCAUUUCAAAAGUGCAUCAGUUCUUAAGGAAAUGCACUCAUCACAUCAAACUCAAUAAUAGUUUAAGUAUAAGGACAAUCAUGAAUGUAUUGAGAUGAGUUUAAGGUGCUUCCCUUUUAUAAGAAUGGUCAGGAGUGGACUCCAAUUGAAUCCCCACUUGGUAAGACACAGUCCGGAUUAUGGAAGCUCAAUCACACACUUGGAACUGAGCUUCUUUGAUCCGGUUGGUACUGAGUAAUGCAAGAGUGAAUCCACCACUUGCAAACUCCACUUUUGAUCAGAGGUGAGGCAAUGAACGACUUGGAUUGGCGCCAGUUGCUUUACCGUCAAAUCACCUUUGAGCUUCUUCUUAUGACCUGAGCUUGUCUCCCCCUUUCUUCUUGCUUCUUGCCUCCAUUUAGGAGUUGAGACAAAGCUUUUCUUUGUUCAUGAGCUCAAUAGGUACCUGAUUCAAUCAUCCAAAAAAAUGCAUGUAUCAAUUCUCAAGGGGCAAACCUAUUCACACAUAAGAAUAAUAAUGGUUUUAGGUACUUCCCUUGCAUCAGUUUGUUGAAUGUUGGUGAGGAUUGCUAAGCACUUGAAUCCUCCACGCCAUUCCUUCUCUCAACCAGCCUUUGCAUUUUUCUCUUGAAGUUUCAGCAUGUAGGGAAGCUCAGCACUUUUCAACUCCAUAAUUUGCCACCAUCAUGUGAUUGCUUAGCCAAUAAUUUCCCUGAUUGAAUACUCCUUGAGUCCUUGAAUAUAGCUGGUCAGAGUGGUGGGGUGUGCCAGCUUCUUCAGACUGAUCACUUAGGCCCCUCCUUAUUAAAUCGCCAUGCAACCUCUUCUUCUUGAUCAUCUAUUUUGACACAUAGAUGUUGCUGGCCUUCUAUGAGGAAAAGAGACACUUAGGAGCUUCAUGGAUCUUCUGGUAGCUCACUGAUUCCCCUCCUCAAGCUUGGCUGAGUAUAGGGACAAGCUUGAAUGUGAGCUUCAAUGAGUUUUGAAACUGGGAGCACAACAAUACCAACAUCUGCGCUUAAGCCAACCAGUUCACUAUCUUCCAGGAGCACAACAAUACCAACAUCUGCGCUUAAGCCAACUGGAUCACCAUUUUCCUUCAGCUCUAAUGUCUUUGGGCCACCAGUCUCCCCAUGACUUAGGUGAUGACCUUCCUUAUGAGUCUCUUGAACCAGGAGCACAACAGCUCCUACGCCUGCGCUUAAGCCAACUGGUUCUACUCACAAGGUAUCUUUACAUGGUCAGGACUAAACACCUUGAUCCAUGCCUCUGACCACCGGCCACUCUUGGCUUAGUGAUGGCCUUUUCUCUUGAGUGCACCUCCUGUACAUCCUCUUGGCAUCAGGUAAGUCACUUCUGAGCAGUUUCUCCAAUUCUCCAACAUCCUUUCUAUCUUCAGGGUAGGAAAUGGGCAGACACAUAGAUAGGAUUUGGGACUGGGCAAUCUCCACGGUUCAGGAAUAUCCAUCUUGGGAGGCUCUGAAAAAAACGUGGGCAAUGCCUUCUUCUUUGUCUUAGUUUGAUGAUGGACAGAGAUCACCUCUUGUGUACCUGAAACAUCACUCAAACUCCAGCAAGAAUCAGACCACACACACUAGGAUCAGCCCUUGAUAAUUCACCAAGUCUGAUCCCAAUGUUUUAAAAAGAAAUAUGCAAUGAACAGAAUCUAAACAACUCAUUCAGUUCAACUCCAUGCAUACUAACAUCACUAACUGCUCAGGUAUGAUAACUCAUCAAUAACAAGGCAAUUAGGCUCUUUUUAUGAAUUUUAAAGAAAAAACAGAGACUAAACAACUCAUCUAAUCAUCUUGAACAAUAUAUAUAAUGCAAUACAAGAUCAGGAGGCUCUCCUAGACCUUUAUCAAUGCAACAAGACAAUGACAGUAGCUAAACAAAUCGCCUAGCACAAUACAAACAGAAACAAUUAAUCUAGGACAGGAACUAGACAAUACCAUGCUAGACAACUCCUAGAAAUAAUUUAAGAAACAGAGCAACACACACAAUUUAAGUAUCAUGGGACAGAAACUAGGUUCAACAACUCUAGCAACUUGAACCUGUCCCAAGGAUACCAAACACACCACUCAACACAACCAGACAUAACUACUCAAGCUCUUAUUAAAGGUAGGAGGUUAACUUACAAACAAGGAACCUGAGCUGGUUCCUUGAACCUCCAAGGCACACUGUUCACUUGAACUUGACAGAUUUGGAGUUUGGGAUCUCUACCCCACGCCAUUUCCUUGUGUGUGCCUUCCCUUUAGACCACUCAUGCUUAAGACCCCUCUUUUCUUCCUGAUUACCAGGCGCCACCUUCUGGCACACAGUGAGAGACUCCAUUUUGGGAAGAACUUGAAAAUCACUUGUACAGACUUGGUUUGGAGCAUUGCUUGCCAAACAGCUCCAAAACCUUCUUUCUCCAAGAGAUCUCUUCAGGCUGAACAGGAGAAAGGAUGAUAGACCUUGGGAAGUCUCUGGACACGCCAUGUUUAGUCUUCUUCCUCUUGAAGAGAUUGAACAGCUGGCUGGACAGAAACUCUCCAAUGAUUUGAAAUAACAAUGAGGAUGAGCCUAUGCUUGAAUUGUGGAAGCUUUGAGUUUCCGAUACUAAAGACCUCCUUUAUCUUGAGUUCUGGUGAGUCUCUUCCCUCCUGGAAAAGCUUUAGACCAGAGGAUACAAGGAUGAACAGAAACAGAGAUUUUUGAAGAGAAGUAUGAACUGUAACAGAUUUGCGGAAGCUUUAUGGAUUCUCAGGAGCUUGGUGCUCUGAUACCAUGUGAGAAUAGACAGAUUAUGGUGUGUGAGUGUUGUUUAGAACAGAGAGUGGUCGGAUUGAAAGAGAACAGAGUGAAGAGAGUAAGUGAGAAUUAAAGAGACUGCAAUGGAGCAAAAGAGAGAUUAAGUGAGAUUUGAGAGAGUAUGAGAGAGAUUCUUGUAACCAGAGAUUAGGGAGAGUAUAAGAGACUUGAGAAUGGUGAAGAAGAAAGGGGAAACUCCCCCAUUCAGCUUAAUUUCGUAAUGGUUACAAUGGGGUGGCUUUAUAGCCAGAUUACAAGUUGCAAGUGAUUAAACAAUUGUUAAAGUACAGAUUUACUAAACUAAUAUUAUUGUAGGGUUUCUGAUGGAGCCAGGAGGAUGCAGCCAAGGAGAAUCUCGACCAGAGGGGGUAGAGAGUGACAGGAGAGAGAGAUGGGCACAGUCUGGUUGGGUGAAAGUGACAGCAGAAAGCUCAGCUGGACGAGUUCCCCACUUGCCUUGACUUCCAAGACACUCUAGGUUAGGUUUGGUUACUUGCAAGCCAAAACUGUACGGACAGAUUCAAAUCUGCUUGUUCCGGAUUUGCUUGCUCUUGAAGCUUGGUCUCUUCAUCAACUCCAGCUUCUUACUUCUUCAUUCCAACACAUAUAUAGAAACCGACUGAAAGCUAGUGCAUUUGGUCUUGGAGUUACCUUACACUGAGGCACUAGAUUCAUGUCUAGUAGCUGAGUAAGGGGCUGUCAAGAUAUUCCUAAGUAUCUCGCAAUGAAUCUGUAGGAUCAUGCUAGUACUUAGAGAGAUUAGCUUGCAAUGAUUUGAAACUUGGGUGUCUUGUUUGAUCUUGCAUUGCUUUAGUGAGUCAUUGGGUUCAAGCUUGAUGUGGAAUCAAGGACUGAGCCAAUGCACCUAUGUCUAAUCUUCUCUGGAGUUUGAGUGGUGUUUCAGGUAUACAAGAAGUGUUCUUAGUUCAUCACCAAUCCAAGAGAAAGCGGAAGGCAUUGCCCAUUGUCAUGAGCAAUGGAGAGCGGUUACUGAAGUGGUGAUGUGCCACUGGUUAGUGAAGACUCACGGCUGCUCACUUCCAAGCUUGGACCCUCAUUCUAUCCAAGCUUGAGGAGGGGAGUUAAGUGAGCAAAGAAGGAAGACCAUGGCAAGCAACUGAU